rnacentral:misc_RNA from 1 species
AACGCACAUUGCGCCCGCCAGUAUUCUGGCGGGCAUGCCUGUUCGAGCGUCAUUUCAACCCUCAAGCCCUUGGGUUUGGUGUUGGGGAUCGGAGGGGCCCUUCUGGGCCGCCCCGUCCCCUAAAUCUAGUGGCGGUCUCGCUGUAGCCUCCAUUGCGUAGUAGCCAACACCUCGCAACUGGAACGCGGCGCGGCCAAGCCGUUAAACCCCCCAACUCUUUCUGAAUGUUGACCUCGGAUCAGGUAGGAAUACCCGCUGAACUUAA